rnacentral:hammerhead_ribozyme from 1 species
AUCCGGCUGACUAGUCCGAAACAGGACGAAACACGCGUACUGUAU